rnacentral:lncRNA from 1 species
AAUAGUGUGUUUACAUCCUUCAGGGAGUCAGUUUGAAGCAGCUAAGUACUGUGUCUGAGGAAAAGGAAUAUUUUUUCUUACUAUAUGUUAUACACUGUGCCAGGGACUUCUUAAGUUAUCUAAUCCUCAAUAUAACCCUAAGAAAUAUUUUUUUCUCAUCUUUCUUAUGGGGAAACAGCCCAAGAGAGGUUCAUUUGUUGCUCCUGGAGUUACACACUAGCUAGCAAUGGUCAGUCUUACUUCAGGUCUUACUGACUCCAAAGUCCACACUUGAUCCUUCCUAGUGGGCCAGAGAGUUAGAUAGAAGUCAGCUGUGCCGGGUACCCCGUCCUUCAGGAAACUGCUGGAUUUGCUCACCAAGGUUCUUUUUUUGUUUUGUUUUGUUUUUGUUUUUUUUUGUUUUGUUUUUAAACAGAAGAAAGAAUCUAUGAAGAAAAAACAAGAUGAAGAAAUAAAUCAAAUAGAAGAAGAGAGAACGAAGCAGAUUUGUAAGAGCUGGAAAGAAGACUCGGAAUGGCAGGCAUCUCGUGAGUACCCAGAGUGCGAAAAUCCAAAGCAGCUGAUGAGAA